rnacentral:rRNA from 1 species
AACGAACGCUGGCGGCGUGCCUAACACAUGCAAGUCGAGCGCGAAAAGGGCAACCUGAGUAGAGCGGCGCACGGGUGCGUAACACGUGGGUAAUCUGCCUUAGAGUCGAGGAUAACCUUCCGAAAGGUUGGCUAAUACUCGGUAAGCUUACGGUGUCUUCGGAAGCUGUGGGAAAAGUAGGCCUCUGUUUACAAGCUUACGCUCUGAGUGUCGCACGCGGCCCAUCAGCUAGUUGGCGGUGUAACGGACCACCAAGGCAACAACGGGUAGCUGGUCUGAGAGGACGAUCGGCCACACUGGAACUGAGACACGGUCCAGACUCCUACGGGAGGCGGCAGUGGGGAAUUUUCCACAAUGGGCGAAAGCCUGAUGGAGCAACGCAGCGUGUGUGAUGAAGGUUUUCGGAUCGUAAAGCACUUUCGACCGGGACGAAAAACCUCUGGCUAACAUCCAGGGGCCUGACGGUACCGGGAGAAGAAGCACCGGCUAACUCUGUGCCAGCAGCCGCAGUAA